CGACAGUUUUUUAUAGUGCAAAUUGGCAAACUGAGAUUUUUCAUGGUGUGAGUCCAUGGCAAUACAUUAUAGGAAAAACAAGAUUUGAAAGGAGGCUCCAGAGGCACAGCUGACCAUCCUGACAAGAAGAACAUUUGCCACAAGCUGGUAAUGCUUAUAAGAACAAUGGAUAACCCAGAGAUAAUCAUGGCCAAAGGCUUAAAAUAAAGUACCCUUCCAUUCCUUCAUGUAGUAAACCCACCUUGGGCUGACAACACAGAUUUUUAUGGUACUGUAUCACAUAUCUAUGAGCUGCUUCUUCUAUGAACUGAGAAGGCAUGGCGGAUGUUUGCCAACUGGCCGACCAACCACAAGCAUUACCUGCCACCUCAGAGGCAAUGAAGUCCUGGAAGCCCAGCCCAUGUCUGUUCAAUAUAAAAGAAAGGAAGACUGACAUGCCACCAUCCAUUACAUCACUUCUGGGUGCAUCCCAACUGUAUCCGCCUCUUCAUCCCAGAAAACAUCUUAAGUGAAGCGACCGCCAUCUUGGAGCAGACUCGAUCUCCACAACAGGACUAGUCUCCAUUUGAGCGCCUAUCACACUUUUUUUCGCACUCCUUUCAAUUUAUACGGUUUGCCUGUGGAUGCCACAGACCCGUUAUGAGCUUCCUUGUGUUCUCUUGUUACAGUACUUAUACUCAUUAAUUAAGAACCUCAGAGAAUAACAUGUUGAAUGUUGAU